GCCGGGAGCAGUGGCACGUGCCUGUAGUCUCAGCUACUCGGGAGGCUGAGGUGGGAGGAUCACUUGAGCCCAGGAGUUCUGGGCUAUAGUGCACUAUGCUGAUCGGGUGUCUGCACUAAGUUUGGUACCAAUAUGGUGACCUUCUGGGAGCGGGGGACCACCAGGUUGCCUGAGGAUGGGUGAACUGGCCCAGAUUGGAAAUGGAGCAGGUCAAAACUCCAGUGCUCAUCAGUAGUGGGAUCGCACCUGUGAAUAGCCACUACACUCCAGCCUGGGCAACAUGGCGAGACCCUGUCUCU
rnacentral:SRP_RNA from 1 species